GAAAAAGAAAAGAGAUACGGACUUAUUCCCGGUUUUUGGUCAAAAUAGCAGCUCAAACCCGGAUUGGAGGGGUGUCAAAAGAAGAGACUCAAGCCAGUGGGAAAUACCCCUCGUGGUUUUUUUUUCUGAACUAAACUCUCCGAUAAUCAAAAUCACACACAAACAUCCUGCUAAAAUUUGUUGGCAACUCGGUCUAACCUACGCCUAAGAGGGUAUGAGACGUAUCUCACCUGUACACAGAGAGAAUCUAGACUCGAGGGAGUUUAGAAUUGAAAGAGAAAUGGUAAGAGUGAGGAAUUAUGUUAGCGUGCGCAGUGGGGUGUAUCGUAACCAAAAAAACAGAAGGUGUUGGGUAACAAAACAAUGGAGGUGGAAGACGAGGAUCAAUUACAAAUUACUAAUAAAGUCUCGUCUUUUCUUCCUUUCUUCUUCUUCAUCUUGCCCCUUUAUCAUAACCUAAUAGUUAUAACUUUCUCCAGCAGCUGUUUCCAACUAGGGUUUCAAGUUCUCUCAUCAAUUUCUUCUCCAAGUGUGCCAAGGAACAAUAUUUGUGGGGUUUCUUCAGCUUAAAUCUGUAGAACCAGCGGCAUUCUGGUGGUUUAAGUGGUGGCGUUUGGAUAAUCUGUGGUGGCGUGUCCAGAUUUUGGUAUAAUGGAAGGAUUAAAAGGUUGUGCAUUAGAUAGUGCGGGUAAUUCUAUUAGAAAGAAGAGAAGUAACAUGCCUAGACGUCCACGGGCUGAUGAGAUUACUGCCUAUGACUCCACUUCUAGGUCUGCUUUGGGUGUUUCAGCUGUUGAUAGAGUUGGUGGUGGUGGUGAAUUUGGAGGAUAUAAAAGGAGUAGAAAAGACGAUGGAGCAUCAAGAGAGCAUGAGGGUUUCAGCCGCGGACAUUUCGAGAAUGGUGGUGGUAGUGGGUCAGAUUUUGUGAGGUGCAGCAAAGGUGCCCUUGCCCCAGCCAACUGGAAAAGCGUAAAGAGUGUUGAAGAAAGCCUUGAUUUACAUUUGAGAAAGAAGGAAAACUCAAUGGGGAAUGUAAGGAAUGUUGGAAGCCCAAGUCUAGGGAACCCAGGAGUAAAUUCAGAUGGUUUAGGAAAUGAAAACAAGCUCAGGAAAGUAAAGCUCAAAGUGGGUGGUGUUACUCAUACACUACAUACCAAGCCUGCAUCUAAUGGUUCCUCUGGUGGUGGAUCUGGGUCGUCUUCCAUGAAGAGUUCUCCAUCAGUAGAUGCUUCACGGCCUCGGAAAAAGCUGAUUCUGCAGGAAACUUCUUCUGAUGAUAAUUCUCCUUCGGAGGCUAUUCGUAAGAGCAAGCGUGUUCCCAAGCCACGUUUAUUGGAUGAUGCAUUUGACGAUGGAAAUGAUGAUGAGGAAAUCCGAUAUCUCGAGAGACUCAAAACUUCCAAAGCUGCUCCAGAUUAUGCUAGGGAGUAUGGAGAUGAUGGUGAAGAAGGAAGCAGGAAACAUAGAAAAAUUUCAAUGGUAUCAAAGACUAAGGCGGUUGGUAGCCAAUAUGAUGAAGAUUUGGAGCCUGGCUCCUCAAAGGGCAGGGAUAGUACCAAGAACUCAAGAUCAAAGUUAGCAGACGAGGAUGCUGAUUUCGUGGGAGAGGAGGAACCAGCAUCAGACGGUGAACUCGAGCAUAAGAAGGAAGUGUCUCUCACUUCACGUCAGCGAGCCCUUCAGUCAGGGAAAGACAUCUCUGCAGGACCUGGUGCGAGUAUGAUUGAGUUCCCAAAUGGGUUGCCUCCUGCAGCACCAAGAAAACAAAAGGAGAAACUUUCUGAAGUAGAACAGCAAUUAAAAAAGGCUGAGGCAGCUCAUAAACGUAAAACCCAAGCAGAAAAGGCAGCUAGGGAGUCCGAGGCUGAAGCAAUCAGGAAAAUUCUUGGUCAGGAUUCUAGCAGGAAGAAGAAGGAAGAUAAAUUGCAAAAGCGACGUGAUGAAAUAGCACAGGAGAGAACCUCAACCUCAACACUUUCAUCAAACACGGUUAGAUGGGUCAUUGGUCCAACUGGAACAGUUGUUAUAUUUCCUGAUGAAAUUGGCUUGCCUCGUAUAUUUGACUCCAAACCAUGCAGUUAUCCUCCACCCAGGGCGAAAUGUGCUGGCCCAUCUUGCACCAAUACGUACAGGUAUCGAGAUUCCAAAUCAAAUCUCCCUUUAUGCAGCCUUCAAUGCUAUAUGGCAAUCCAUGAACAAAUGCAACCUGUUUCAACCUGCUGAUGCUUAGCCGAAAGAAACCAAGCUUCCAACAAGAAAGCCAUGGAGUGGAACCCAUACCUAAUGCGAUAUUUGAUCCAAUGAUCCACUACCAGUGCCCAAGAUGUGAAAAUGCAAAAGGCAAAGUCUGGGGGGUCUUUUUGAAGCAAAAGAAAGAAAACAGUCCUGUUUUUCAAAUACAUAUGGGAGGGAAGGGGGGAUGGAGACAAAAGUGAAAACCCCAUUGCUUCUUUCCACUUCAACUUUUAAAGCAUGUUAGCCUGCCACUUAUUUGUUUAUGAUUUUUACCCUGUUUUCCCUCAGAAGGCUGACAAACA